UACGAAGGGGGCUAGCGUUGCUCGGAAUCACUGGGCGUAAAGCGCACGUAGGCGGACUCUUAAGUCGGUGGUGAAAUCCUGGAGCUCAACUCCAGAACUGCCUUCGAUACUGAGAGUCUCGAGUCCGAGAGAGGUGAGUGGAACUGCGAGUGUAGAGGUGAAAUUCGUAGAUAUUCGCAAGAACACCAGUGGCGAAGGCGGCUCUCUGGGACGGUACUGACGCUGAGACGCGAAAGCGUGGGGAGCGAACAGG
rnacentral:rRNA from 1 species